UAGAGUUUGAUCAUGGCUCAGAUUGAACGCUGGCGGCAGGCUUAACACAUGCAAGUCGAGCGGUAACAUUCCUAGCUUGCUAGGAGAUGACGAGCGGCGGACGGGUGAGUAAUGCUUGGGAAUAUGCCUUUUGGUGGGGGACAACAGUUGGAAACGACUGCUAAUACCGCAUAAUGUCUACGGACCAAAGUGGGGGACCUUCGGGCCUCACGCCAUUAGAGUAGCCCAAGUGAGAUUAGCUAGUAGGUGAGGUAAAGGCUCACCUAGGCGACGAUCUCUAGCUGGUUUGAGAGGAUGAUCAGCCACACUGGGACUGAGACACGGCCCAGACUCCUACGGGAGGCAGCAGUGGGGAAUAUUGCACAAUGGGGGAAACCCUGAUGCAGCCAUGCCGCGUGUGUGAAGAAGGCCUUCGGGUUGUAAAGCACUUUCAGCGAGGAGGAAGGGGUGUUGCUUAAUACGUAACAUUCUUGACGUUACUCGCAGAAGAAGGACCGGCUAACUCCGUGCCAGCAGCCGCGGUAAUACGGAGGGUCCGAGCGUUAAUCGGAAUUACUGGGCGUAAAGCGCGCGUAGGCGGUUAGAUCAGUCAGAUGUGAAAGCCCCGGGCUCAACCUGGGAACUGCAUUCGAUACUGGCAAGCUAGAGUACGAGAGAGGGAGGUAGAAUUCCACGUGUAGCGGUGAAAUGCGUAGAUAUGUGGAGGAAUACCAGUGGCGAAGGCGGCCUCCUGGCUCGAUACUGACGCUCAUGUGCGAAAGCGUGGGGAGCAAACAGGAUUAGAUACCCUGGUAGUCCACGCCGUAAACGAUGUCUACUAGCCGUUGGGAGACUUGAUUUCUUAGUGGCGCAGCUAACGCAUUAAGUAGACCGCCUGGGGAGUACGGUCGCAAGAUUAAAACUCAAAUGAAUUGACGGGGGCCCGCACAAGCGGUGGAGCAUGUGGUUUAAUUCGACGCAACGCGAAGAACCUUACCAACUCUUGACAUCCUGAGAAUUCGCUAGAGAUAGCUUAGUGCCUUCGGGAACUCAGAGACAGGUGCUGCAUGGCUGUCGUCAGCUCGUGUUGUGAAAUGUUGGGUUAAGUCCCGUAACGAGCGCAACCCUUAUCCUUAUUUGCCAGCGGGUUAUGCCGGGAACUCUAAGGAGACUGCCGGUGACAAACCGGAGGAAGGUGGGGACGACGUCAAGUCAUCAUGGCCCUUACGAGUAGGGCUACACACGUGCUACAAUGGUGAGUACAGAGGGAAGCGAACUUGCGAGAGUAAGCGGAUCCCUUAAAGCUCAUCGUAGUCCGGAUCGGAGUCUGCAACUCGACUCCGUGAAGUCGGAAUCGCUAGUAAUCGCAAAUCAGAAUGUUGCGGUGAAUACGUUCCCGGGCCUUGUACACACCGCCCGUCACACCAUGGGAGUGGGUUGCAAAAGAAGUAGCUAGUCUAACCUUCGGGAGGACGGUUACCACUUUGUGAUUCAUGACUGGGGUGAAGUCGUAACAAGGUAACCCUA
rnacentral:rRNA from 1 species